rnacentral:lncRNA from 1 species
UCGUACACUACAGUGAGCUUUUCUCUUUUCUUCCAUUGUUCUUUUUCUUAGUAAUCUUCAUAUGUUUCUUCACAUUCUUCCCAUAACAAACUAAUAUCCAAAGAAUAAAUUUCUUGAAAUCAUUUUUUGUUAUUUCUUUAUGAUUUCUUCUACAAUUUCUUUCAAAAUUAUUAGUUAUACUUCCAAAAAUACACAACCUUAACAAACAUUCAUCAGAUUUUUUAGAACUAGAUAAUCUCUUUUUUUUUCUUGGUGAUAUCCACCAUUUUUACCACCACCGACAGUGGACUUCCUCUGGAGAAAACCACCGUCAGCUAGCACUAUCAUCUAACCUACUAUCGCAGCUACCAGGUCGUCGGAUUUCAAGCCUCCAGAUGUAUCCGAACCUCCGAUAUGUCGUUAACUACCAGAUCGUAUGAUUUAUUUAGAUCAGAUCUAGAUCUGGUCGGAUUUUCACCGGGAUCAUCCAGAUCCAUCGUCAAUGAGCACCGACGCCUUCAUCGCACCAUAACCACAACCUUUCGGUACCACCAACAACGAACACCACCACCUGCAAUCAUUCCAGAUAUGCAUAGGUCUGGUCAGAUCUGGUUAGAUCUGAUAUUUAGAUGCAAUUUUGUUAAGCCUUUUGUUUUCCGGAGAGCUUCUUUGCCUCAGAUCGUUGGGAGAGUCACUAACUGACAUCAUCAUCUCAAAUCUAAAGCCAAAUACAUAUACCGAUUUCUCGGAUUUGGUGAGAUUUGUUGUGUCUGAUGUAUUUUCAAACAUAAAUCUAAUGUUUACAAAGCAUUUCAUGGUGGCCAGUUGUUGUUCCACUACCACCUCAGAUAUGAAAACAAUGUGCACACAAGGUGUUUGAUGAAAUGCCUAAACGAGAUCUGUAAGUUUUUAUAUUAUAAAUAAGUGUAUGAAAUUGUGUAUCAAACUAUGAACUAGUGUCUGAAAUGUAUAUUAUACUAUGAAUUUUGUUUUUUAUGCAUUAGUCUGUAAAUUAGUGUCUAAAAUGUUGAAUUAAAAAACAUUGAAUUAAACUUUGAAUUAGUGUCUAAAAUAUUGAAUUAAACUUUGAAUUAGUGCGUGAAAUAUUGUAUUAAACUGUGAAUUCUAAUUUUUUUAUCCAGAUCUAAAUUUUAUAUUUGUAAAUGAGUUGUGAAUGUAAUAUAUUAAACUGUGAAUAUGUGUUUCUUAUGUAUUAAUUUGUGAAUAUAUAAGUUAUUAAGUUGUGAAUGUGUAUUUUUUUUUAUGUAGUAAGUUGUGAAUUAGUGUCUGAAAUAUUAAAUUAAGCUGUGAAUUAGUGUCCGAAAUGUUGAAUUAAACUGUGAAUUCUGAUUUUUUUUUUAUGCAAAUUUGAUUUUAGAGGGAAAGAUGUUGACAGUAUUGGCACCGAUGGUCAGUGGUCGAGAUGGUUGAUGGUAGUGGAUAUUGGUGGUGGUGGUAGAGUAAGGAUAUGUUCUAUUUCUCACUCAUCUUCAUCUUCUUCACUGAUUCUUCGAUGAUUUCAAAUAAGUUAUCCUCUUUUAUUAUUCAUGUAUAUGUUUUUUUCUUUUGAUGUUUGCUUCUGAAAUAUGAGAUAACUUAUUUAUGUAUUAAACUGUGAAUGAGUUUUUUAUACACUAAAAUAUGAUAUUAUACUUGUAAAUGAGUUGUUAAUGCAUUAUAUUAAACAAUGAAUUUUAUAAAUUUUAUUAACAACUUAAUAUAAUAAUUUCACAAUUUAAUAUACCUCCAGAUAUGAACGUAUAGAUGUACGCGUUAAGUUGAGAAUAUGGUUGUGAAUAUAUAACUUUUGUUUAUUAAAUUGUGAAUAUAUUGUAUUAAGCUGUGAAUUUUUUGUAUAAAAAUAUGAAUUAAGCUGUGAUUUGACUGUAAUAAACUAUGAUUUUUUUUUAAUUUUUUGUUUGCUUCUGAAAUAUGAGAAGAAUGAAUCAUUAUACACAUAUAUGAUUUUUUUCUAAUUAAAAUUAAUUAUAUAAAAUUUAAAGUGUGAAUAUUGAUUGAACGUAUAGUGAAUUAAACGUUGAAAGAAGCAUUAGCCUCCAAUUUAAAAGGUAUAAAUAUAAGUUUUAAGUUAAGAAUAUGAUAUUUCAAUAUACUAAAUUGUAAAUUUAUUAUACUAAGUUGUGAAUUUUAUGCGGUAAACAGUAAUCGACAAUAUUAAGUUUUGAAUUGACUGAAUUUUGCUCUAUUUUUUUUUAUAAAAUUUGUGUAAAAAUAUGUAUGAUGUGUGUAUGAAUUUUUGUAUUAAUGUUCUUAUGAAUAUAUUUAUGUUGUGUGUAUAAGUGUGUAAGAAUACAUUAGUUUUUAUAACUAAUUUGUAUUAAAUUCAGUGAGUGAAUUAAUAGAUUUAUUAAACUACAAAUGUAAUAUCUAACAUGUCAUUGUGUAACAAUAUAUACAUAUAUGAUUUGGAAGGAAGAUUAGUUGCGACAUUAGUGGAGGUGGUUGGCGGCGUCAUGUGGUGGUGGUAGAGUGGGGUUUGAGUUCUCUGAAUUUAAGAAUUUAUAUAAGAUGGAUUAUAUUAAGUUGUGAAUUUUGUGUAUUAAUUUGGAAACUG